rnacentral:rRNA from 1 species
GAUGAACGCUAGCUACAGGCUUAACACAUGCAAGUCGAGGGGAAACGACAUCGAAAGCUUGCUUUUGAUGGGCGUCGACCGGCGCACGGGUGAGUAACGCGUAUCCAACCUGCCCACCACUUGGGGAUAACCUUGCGAAAGUAAGACUAAUACCCAAUGAUAUCCCACGAAGGCAUCCGAAUGGGAUUAAAGAUUUAUCGGUGAUGGAUGGGGAUGCGUCUGAUUAGCUUGUUGGCGGGGUAACGGCCCACCAAGGCUACGAUCAGUAGGGGUUCUGAGAGGAAGGUCCCCCACAUUGGAACUGAGACACGGUCCAAACUCCUACGGGAGGCAGCAGUGAGGAAUAUUGGUCAAUGGACGAGAGUCUGAACCAGCCAAGUCGCGUGAAGGAAGACGGAUCUAUGGUUUGUAAACUUCUUUAGUGCGGGAACAAAGCGGCGUCGUGACGCCGGGUGAGUGUACCGCAAGAUAAGCAUCGGCUAACUCCGUG